rnacentral:rRNA from 1 species
UGGGGAAUAUUGGACAAUGGGCGCAAGCCUGAUCCAGCGACGCCGCGUGUGUGAAGAAGGCCUGCGGGUUGUAAAGCACUUUCGAUGGGAACGAAAUGUGCCGGGUUAAUACCCCGGUAAGCUGACGUUACUCAAUGAAGAAGCACCGGCUAACUCUGUGCCAGCAGCCGCGGUAAUACAGAGGGUGCGAGCGUUAAUCGGAAUUACUGGGCGUAAAGCGCACGUAGGUGGCGACGUAAGUCGGGUGUGAAAGCCCCGGGCUCAACCUGGGAAUUGCAUUCGAGACUGCAUUGCUGGAGUACGGAAGAGGAGGGCGGAAUUCCCGGUGUAGCGGUGAAAUGCGUAGAUAUCGGGAGGAACAUCAGUGGCGAAGGCGGCCCUCUGGUCCAGUACUGACGCUCAUGCACGAAAGCGUGGGGAGCAAACAGGAUUAGAUACCCUCGUAGUCCCUGAGCGGGCUGGCAAGGCGCAU